AUUAGGGAUAAAUGCGACUGGAGAUGAGUCAGCUGCAGAGGGAGGAGAGGACUGCUCAAGUAACUUGCUGGAGAAAGAGAAAAUAUCAUUUGAGAUUCAACGAAAAGGAAGCAAGCACAGCUUUAUUUACCUGUAAAGCAGCGGUGGUGGUCAGGGACGACAAAGGAAGAGCCAGGAAGACAUUGAUUCUGUUGCAAAUGAUCCAUUGUGGGCUAACAAUAGCAUCUGGGUGGGCAGGUUAACUCUUUCUUAGGUGCUACCCGAAGCUCUUUAGGGCUUGUGCACUGCUACUGAACAGCUAAUGCCAUGUUGAGCUGAAGAACAAAUCUGGUUAAGCAUGUUCCUCCGAAAAGACAUCUGUUUUUAAAUUCAUGUGCAUUAAUGAGUUCAUUAAUAGUUCUAGAGAAGACUAGAAGGUAUGGCCACUCAACUUCAUCCAUCAGUCGUACACCUGCUGCUGUCAACACAAAAUGGUACUACACCACCAGAAUGGGAUAUGAAACUAUUACUAUAAUGGAGACAGCAGUGUAGACCAGUAAACACUGCCAGAAGCUGCAAGCAGAAGAGGGGAUAUUCAGCCAUUAAUAACCAAAAUGAUAGAGGCUGAUGGAAGAGCUGUAAAUCUGCCUGAAGAUGGGGAAAUCACUCAGGAGCUCGUGUACAAUCCCAGGCCUUCUGCAGCAAGGAAGCAACGCAUUCAACUUCACCCCCGGUGCCACGUUUUAAUUUCUGCAGCACAUUGUUCCUCAAGAUCCUCUGGAGUACUUUGGAACCUCCCGGCUCCUGUGAUUAUAUGAGAAGAUGCUAAAGCCCAGAUGGAGCUGUUCAUUUAUUUUGCUGCUGCUAACAAUGAGAGGUACAAUGCUUGCCGAUUUUAUUUAUAGAAUGAGCUUUUGCGAUGAUUCGCCUGGGACCAGCAGAUGCCUCCAACCACUGUGUGAAGCACUGAAUGCCCACGGCUCUCCAGGGUCACUCAAUAUUGAUCAGCUAACGCCGUGCUGUGAACAGCUGGUUGGGCUAGAUUAGAAGUGUGACCUGGGAGGGCUGGAGUCUAAUAAACUAGCGGAGCCACAAGCUGCAGAGACCAAAUGAUUCGUGUCCUCUGAGCAUUCACUGAACAAAUACUGUCACCCUAAGAGCACGCAGAACCAACAAAGAGGUUUUCUUUGGAGGCAAAGAGACAUCUGCUGUAAUUAGGGUGGGACACAGAUGGGACAUAUUGUAUCCAGGUUAACUGUCCCUUAUUGCAAUAUGUCGCUCACUUUAAAUCUAGGUAAGCUGUCUUGCGGCGCUAAAUAUUCAAAGUCUAACAGGAGCAAGGGCUGAAGUCUCAUACAAAGCCUGCUGCCUUAUUUUGCUGUCUUCAUAGGAGAUGCAUGGUCCCUCAAGCACGCAGUCCUAAAAUAAGCAGUGCUCACCCUUGUGAUGUGUGGCCGGAGGAGCUUUGCUCAUCUUGUGGUGCAAGUUUAAGUACAGAAAGACAUCUUGUGGACAGAGAGCCAGUCAGUCUUUAUAGAAGAACUGUGACCAGUGGAGAUUCUCAAUAUGGCAAUACACCAUUAUUUGAGGUGCACUCCCUCUGCAGUUGAUGUUUUACACACAAAUGAUAAGGACUCCUUGCUCAGAAGAGACUGCAACCUAGAAGAGACGAGACGGAAGAAGAGAGUUGUUAACCCAGAUUCCCAUUACAUUGCCCAGUCCUUUGGGCAAUCCACAGUUGUAGAAACUACAUCCUCUUUUUUUUUUUUUUCCAUACGUUGUUAGCAGUAUCUGUAAACGUGAGGAAAAUCAUCGAUGUAACUCACUUCAUCUCCAUCUGUAUCUCUAUACAUCUCUUUAAGAAGACAUGCAGGUUAACUACUCCAUCCUAUGGCGUAUGCAAUAUUUCUUCCCUUCUACAAAUUAUUUGGCAAAUGUAAAAGGAAAUAUAUGACAAGAUGCUUUAGCAUCUUCUCUGAGACAUUGUAAAACUCAUCCUAUUCUAGAGAGAUAUAGGAAACCCAUUUCAAGAACAAUAACGGAACCGAAUAAUUCAGUUUAUUCCUGUUGAUCUUUGUGAGCUAGAGUGUCUAGAAAAAUGCACUGCCUCAUACAUUAAGCUAAU